rnacentral:rRNA from 1 species
GACGAACGCUGGCGGCGUGCUUAACACAUGCAAGUCGAACGGAAAGGCCUUUUCGGAGGUACUCGAGUGGCGAACGGGUGAGUAACACGUGGGUGAUCUGCCCUGCACUCUGGGAUAAGCCUGGGAAACUGGGUCUAAUACCGGAUAGGACCGCACUUUAGUGUGUGUGGUGGAAAGUUUUUUCGGUGUAGGAUGGGCCCGCGGCCUAUCAGCUUGUUGGUGGGGUAAUGGCCUACCAAGGCGGCGACGGGUAGCCGGACUGAGAGGUUGGUCGGCCACAUUGGGGCUGGGAUACGGCCCAGACUCCUACGGGAGGCAGGAGUGGGGAAUAUUGCACCAUGGGCGCAAGCCUGAUGCAGCGACGCCGCGUGGGGGAUGACGGCCUUCGGGUUGUAAACUCCUUUCGCCAGGGACGAAGCGUUUUGUGACGGUACCUGGAGAAGAAGCACCGGCUAACUACGUG